rnacentral:lncRNA from 1 species
AAAAAAAAAAAAAAAAAUCAAUUGACACACUUUUCACAAAACCCCUAAGGAAAUAACAAUUUUGAGUCUCAAAAGCAUGCAGAAACUAUUGGAAUACUCAUAACUAUCCAACUUAAUUGAACGGCAGAGUUUAUGAUGACCUUCCAAUCAGCGUUGAUAAGGAGAUUGCUCGUCUUCUUGCUCGUAUUAACAUGACACCGGCUAUUAAGGCUGCAAAUUGGUUAGGUUGAUCUGAGAUCUGAUCCGAUUAGAUUCAAUCUGG